GGAUUGAUGGUGUAGAGGUAACACAUCCUGGUCAAGUGGCAGACAUGUACAAGUUGCCCUGGGAAGUCCCUCGUUCAAAUCGGGGUCAAUCCA